rnacentral:rRNA from 1 species
AAAGUUUGAUCCUGGCUCAGGACGAACGCUGGCGGCACGCUUAACACAUGCAAGUCGAACGAGAGAAGAGGAGCUUGCUUUUCUGAUCUAGUGGCGGACGGGUGAGUAACACGUGAGCAAUCUGCCUUUCAGAGGGGGAUACCGAUUGGAAACGAUCGUUAAUACCGCAUAACAUAAUUGAACCGCAUGAUUUGAUUAUCAAAGAUUUAUCGCUGAAAGAUGAGCUCGCGUCUGAUUAGCUAGUUGGUAAGGUAACGGCUUACCAAGGCGACGAUCAGUAGCCGGACUGAGAGGUUGAUCGGCCACAUUGGGACUGAGACACGGCCCAGACUCCUACGGGAGGCAGCAGUGGGGAAUAUUGCACAAUGGAGGAAACUCUGAUGCAGCGAUGCCGCGUGAGGGAAGAAGGUUUUAGGAUUGUAAACCUCUGUCUUCAGGGACGAAAAAAGACGGUACCUGAGGAGGAAGCUCCGGCUAACUACGUGCCAGCAGCCGCGGUAAUACGUAGGGAGCGAGCGUUGUCCGGAAUUACUGGGUGUAAAGGGAGCGUAGGCGGGAUCGCAAGUCAGAUGUGAAAACUAUGGGCUUAACCCAUAAACUGCAUUUGAAACUGUGGUUCUUGAGUGAAGUAGAGGUAAGCGGAAUUCCUAGUGUAGCGGUGAAAUGCGUAGAUAUUAGGAGGAACAUCAGUGGCGAAGGCGGCUUACUGGGCUUUAACUGACGCUGAGGCUCGAAAGCGUGGGGAGCAAACAGGAUUAGAUACCCUGGUAGUCCACGCCGUAAACGAUGAUUACUAGGUGUGGGGGGACUGACCCCUUCCGUGCCGCAGCAAACGCAAUAAGUAAUCCACCUGGGGAGUACGACCGCAAGGUUGAAACUCAAAGGAAUUGACGGGGGCCCGCACAAGCAGUGGAGUAUGUGGAUUAAUUCGAAGCAACGCGAAGAACCUUACCAGGUCUUGACAUCGUAUGCAUAGCUCAGAGAUGAGUGAAAUCUCUUCGGAGACAUAUAGACAGGUGGUGCAUGGUUGUCGUCAGCUCGUGUCGUGAGAUGUUGGGUUAAGUCCCGCAACGAGCGCAACCCUUACUGUUAGUUGCUACGCAAGAGCACUCUAGCAGGACUGCCGUUGACAAAACGGAGGAAGGUGGGGAUGACGUCAAAUCAUCAUGCCCCUUAUGACCUGGGCCUCACACGUACUACAAUGGCUGUCAACAGAGGGAAGCAAAGCCGCGAGGUGGAGCGAACCCCUAAAAGCAGUCUUAGUUCGGAUUGUAGGCUGCAACCCGCCUACAUGAAGUCGGAAUUGCUAGUAAUCGCAGAUCAGCAUGCUGCGGUGAAUACGUUCCCGGGCCUUGUACACACCGCCCGUCACGCCAUGGGAGUCGGUAACACCCGAAGCCUGUAGUCUAACCGCAAGGAGGACGCAGUCGAAGGUGGGAUUGAUGACUGGGGUGAAGUCGAAACAAGGUA